rnacentral:rRNA from 1 species
CGAAGGUGUCAAACGUUGUCCGGAAUAACUGGGCGUAAAGGGCGCGUAGGCGGUCGGGUAAGUGGGAUGUGAAAGCUCUGGGCUCAACCCAGGAAUUGCAUUCCAUACUGCUCGACUUGAGUUCGGUAGAGGAGGGCGGAAUUCCAGGUGUAGCGGUGAAAUGCGUAGAUAUCUGGAGGAACACCCGUGGCGAAGGCGGCUCUCUGGUCCGAUACUGACGCUGAGGCGCGAAAGCUAGGGUAGCAAACAGGAUUAGAUACCCUGGUAGUCCUAGCUGUAAACGGUGAGUACUAGGUGUUGGAGGUAUUGACCCCUUCAGUGCCGAAGCUAACGCAUUAAGUACUCCGCCUGGGAACUACGGCCGCAAGGCUG